rnacentral:rRNA from 1 species
UACGUAGGGAGCAAGCGUUGUCCGGAAUCAUUGGGCGUAAAGCGCGCGUAGGUGGCCAUGUAAGUCCGCUGUGAAAGUCGAAGGCUCAACCUUCGAAAGCCGGUGGAUACUGCAUGGCUAGAGUACGGAAGAGGCGAGUGGAAUUCCUGGUGUAGCGGUGGAAUGCGCAGAUAUCAGGAGGAACACCAAUAGCGAAGGCAGCUCGCUGGGACGUUACUGACACUGAGGCGCGAAAGCGUGGGGAGCAAACAGG